rnacentral:rRNA from 1 species
CAGUCGCCGCGGGAAUACGUAGGGUGCAAGCGUUAAUCGGAAUUACUGGGCGUAAAGCGUGCGCAGGCGGUUUGUUAAGACAGAUGUGAAAUCCCCGGGCUUAACCUGGGAACCGCAUUUGUGACUGGCAAGCUAGAGUAUGGCAGAGGGGGGUGGAAUUCCGCGUGUAGCAGUGAAAUGCGUAGAUAUGCGGAGGAACACCGAUGGCGAAGGCAGCCCCCUGGGCCAAUACUGACGCUCAUGCACGAAAGCGUGGGGAGCAAACAGGAUUAGAUACCCUGGUAGUCCCUGUCUCUUAUAC